rnacentral:rRNA from 1 species
UACGUAGGCAGCGAGCGUUGUUCGGAAUUACUGGGCGUAAAGAGUGUGUAGGCGGUGCUCUAAGUUCGGUGUGGAAUCUCCUGGCUCAACUGGGAGGGUGCGCCGGAAACUGGAGUGCUUGAGCGUGGGAGAGGAAAGCGGAAUUCCUGGUGUAGCGGUGAAAUGCGUAGAUAUCAGGAGGAACACCUGUGGUGUAGACGGCUUUCUGGACCAUAGCUGACGCUGAGACACGAAAGCGUGGGUAGCAAACAGG